UAGUCCACGCCGUAAACGAUGAUUACUCGCUGUAGGCGAUACACAGUCUGUGGCUAAGCGAAAGUUUUAAGUAAUCCACCUGGGGAGUACGAUCGCAAGAUUGAAACUCAAAGGAAUUGACGGGGGCCCGCACAAGCGGAGGAACAUGUGGUUUAAUACGAUGAUACGCGAGGAACCUUACCAGGGCUUAAAUGUAGAUUGACAGGACUAGAGAUAGUUUUUCCUUCGGGCAAUUUACAAGGUGCUGCAUGGUUGUCGUCAGCUCGUGCCGUGAGGUGUCAGGUUAAGUCCUAUAACGAGCGCAACCCCUGCCGUUAGUUGCCAGCAUGUUAAGAUGGGGACUCUAACGGGACUGCCGGUGCAAACCGUGAGGAAGGUGGGGAUGACGUCAAAUCAUCACGGCCCUUACGUCCUGGGCCACACACGUGCUACAAUGGCCGGUACAGAGAGCAGCCAUGUUGCAAAACAGAGCGAAAUCUAUAAAACCGGUCACAGUUCGGAUCGGAGU
rnacentral:rRNA from 1 species